UACGUAGGGCGCAAGCGUUGUCCGGAAUUAUUGGGCGUAAAGAGCUCGUAGGCGGCUUGUCACGUCGAUUGUGAAAGCCCGAGGCUUAACCUCGGGUCUGCAGUCGAUACGGGCUAGCUAGAGUGUGGUAGGGGAGAUCGGAAUUCCUGGUGUAGCGGUGAAAUGCGCAGAUAUCAGGAGGAACACCGGUGGCGAAGGCGGAUCUCUGGGCAUUAACUGACGCUGAGGAGCGAAAGCAUGGGGAGCGAACAGG
rnacentral:rRNA from 1 species